rnacentral:rRNA from 1 species
UACGUAGGGGGCAAGCGUUGUCCGGAAUCAUUGGGCGUAAAGAGCGCGUAGGCGGUCCGGUAAGUCCGCUCUGAAAGCCCGGGGCUCAACCCCGGGAGGCGGGCGGAUACUGUCGGGCUAGAGUCCGGAAGAGGCGAGUGGAAUUCCUGGUGUAGCGGUGAAAUGCGCAGAUAUCAGGAGGAACACCGAUGGCGAAGGCAGCUCGCUGGGCAGUAGCUGACACUGAGGCGCGACAGCGUGGGGAGCAAACAGG